ensembl:snoRNA SNORA70 Small nucleolar RNA SNORA70
AAGACCCUUCAGCUGCAACCAGCUUCCUUGUUAGUGUGUGCAGCCUGUUUCUUGUAUUGGCUGCUCUAAGGGACCUUGGAGAUAGAC